AGAGUUUGAUCUUGGCUCAGGACGAACGCUGGCGGCAUGCCUAAUACAUGCAAGUCGAACGAUGAUAUCACUGCUUGCAGUGAUUGAUUAGUGGCGAACGGGUGAGUAACACGUGAGGAACUUGCCCAUGAGCGGGGGACAACAUUCGGAAACGGAUGCUAAUACCCCAUAGGUGGAUUGGUCGCAUGACGAAUUCAUUAAAGGUGGCUUUGCUACCACUCAUGGAUAGCCUCGCGGCGUAUUAGCUAGUUGGUAAGGUAAUGGCUUACCAAGGCAGUGAUACGUAGCCGACUUGAGAGGGUGAUCGGCCACACUGGGACUGAGACACGGCCCAGACUCCUACGGGAGGCAGCAGUAGGGAAUCUUCCACAAUGGGUGCAAACCUGAUGGAGCAAUGCCGCGUGAGUGAAGAAGGUCUUCGGAUCGUAAAGCUCUGUUGUUAGAGAAGAACACGUGCUAGGUAACUACUAGCGCCUUGACGGUAUCUAACCAGAAAGUCACGGCUAACUACGUGCCAGCAGCCGCGGUAAUACGUAGGUGACAAGCGUUGUCCGGAUUUAUUGGGCGUAAAGGGAGCGCAGGCGGUCUGUUUAGUCUAAUGUGAAAGCCCACGGCUUAACCGUGGAACGGCAUUGGAAACUGACAGACUUGAAUGUAGAAGAGGAAAAUGGAAUUCCAAGUGUAGCGGUGGAAUGCGUAGAUAUUUGGAGGAACACCAGUGGCGAAGGCGAUUUUCUGGUCUAACAUUGACGCUGAGGCUCGAAAGCGUGGGGAGCGAACAGGAUUAGAUACCCUGGUAGUCCACGCCGUAAACGAUGAGUGCUAAGUGUUGGGGGCUUUCCGGCCCUCGGUGCUGGAGCUAACGUAUUAAGCACUCCGCCUGGGGAUUACGACCGCAAGGUUGAAAC
rnacentral:rRNA from 1 species